UACGUGGGGUGCAAGCGUUAAUCGGAAUUACUGGGCGUAAAGCGUGCGCAGGCGGUUGUGCAAGACAGAUGUGAAAUCCCCGGGUUCAACCUGGGAAUUGCAUUUGUGACUGCACGGCUAGAGUGUGUCAGAGGGGGGUAGAAUUCCACGUGUAGCAGUGAAAUGCGUAGAGAUGUGGAGGAAUACCGAUGGCGAAGGCAGCCCCCUGGGAUAACACUGACGCUCAUGCACGAAAGCGUGGGGAGCAAACAGG
rnacentral:rRNA from 1 species